ACGUAGGUGGCAAGCGUUGUCCGGAUUUAUUGGGUUUAAAGGGCGUGUAGGCGGUCAAGUAAGUGGGAUGUGAAAUCCCUCGGCUCACCCGAGGACCUGCAUCCCAAACUGCUUGGCUUGAGUAUGGGAGAGGAUGAGGGAAUUCCUGGUGUAGCGGUGAUAUGCGUAGAUAUCAGGAGGAACACCGGUGGCGAAAGCGCUCAUCUGGCCCAAUACUGACGCUGAGGCGCGAAAGCUGGGGGAGCAAACGGGA
rnacentral:rRNA from 1 species